UGGGUGCUGGCAAUGUCCUUUCCUUGACCUGGGGGGUUGUUGAGGGAGUUCCAGUUAAUAAUAAUCCACUGAACUAUACACUGAUGUUUAGCACACUUGAAAAAUGUGUGCUAUUUUUCACAAUGCUUUAUUUUUAAUUGAAAAUUCAGCAAGAACAAAGUAUUGGGGUGUUGAGGAGGGUGGCUUGUCGGGUAGCCAAGAAGUGCCUGCCACAGGGGACAGAGCUUACCCAGUCGGGCAGAAGCGGAAGAGAUUUCUAUCCGGAGACAGCAGCAGGUCACAGUCGCAGGCGUUCAGGAGAAUGUGGUGAACCCGAGGAGCUGGAAGGUGACCAGCCCCGUUUUGCAGGGGCUUAGAGAGCAAGUGGAAAGAGGUACCCCAAGGAGUUCGUUUCUGAGCAAGCCAAACUUAUGGCACCUAAGAGACUUCCAAAGGUCCUAACAGGCCACUGGUCUCAAGUGCAGAAGCACAUUCGGAAGAGAAGAAGGGAGCGGAACAUCGAUCUGAUGCUCCACUUAUUUAUGAAUCAUUGGUGGAUUCUUAUUUGUGCCCCGACCUGGGAUGGAACUCAUAACACUGGUGUAUGGAGCGGUGCUCUAACCAAUUACUCAGCCAGAGAAUUUGUUCAUGUAACUUUUCUUUUGCAAUCCUUCACAGGAGCUUCUUGCCAGGCACUCUCCGAAUUGGCCUCCCAUGUACCUGCCUGGCCAGCUGCCGACUAGACUUUGUAAAAGACACAUCUGAACACAUCCUCUGCCUGAAACCGCUGGUGCCCCUCGCGGGCAGAGGCGCCAAGAUCCACUUUAAUAACUGUGGGUGGAUGAGCUGUUCCUGAUGAGCUGCUUAUCUCUGCAGCUACAUCUCAGAGGAUCACCGCUGGAGUGAAGCCCUUUCAGCCUCUGUGCUUCUGCAGGAGCUGUUGCCGCUGCCUGGGUGGUACCUGCCCCUUGCACCUUCUACUUCUCUCCUGGAGAAGCUCCGACCUCAACGUGAGGCCUUCCCCAGCGCUCCCCGACUGCCCCCAGCCCUAACUGCCACUUCUGGGCGCUCAGGAUACAGGCACUUCCGUGGCAGCGCUGCACCCCACCACUUACCACACCUGCUAGGUCCCUGGAAUGUGAGCAAUCUGACAAGCACAGUGGACAUUGAUAGUUCAAAUAGGUGGAUUUUGAAAUAACCAAUGCAUGGACUUCAAAGAUCAAAAGUUAAGGUUAAAAAGUCAGCCCUGGUUGGUGCGGCUCAGUGGAUUGAGCAUGGGCCUGCAAACCAAAGGGUCCCUGGUUCGAUUCCCAGUCAGGGCACCUGCCUGGGUUGUGGGCCAGGUUUGCCCGUGUGGGGCACUGGAGA